rnacentral:rRNA from 1 species
ACGCUCGACACCUACGGGAGCAGCAGUGGGGAAUAUUGCACAAUGGGGGAAACCCUGAUGCAGCGACGCCGCGUGGAGGAAGAAGGUCUUCGGAUUGUAAACUCCUGUUGUUGGGGAAAAAGAGGAUGGUACCCAACAAGGAAGUGACGGCUAACUACGUGCCAGCAGCCGNGGUAUCUGAGGCGGGCGUGGACGAAGGC